rnacentral:lncRNA from 1 species
UUUAACCGCGACUUGGUUCUUCUCAAAUGAUUAGAGUAAUUUUUUCGUUGAAAUUUCUUCGUUAGUUAUACGAAGUUGACUUCAUGAUAUGUCAAAAGACAGAGCAUCUAUCUUUGAGAUUAAGGCCUUAAAUGGAAAGAUGGAAUUAAAGUGGUUCGUCUACCAAAGCAUAUUAUCUGUAUAUAUAACACCAUUCAACUAAAAUAUAAUCUGCUAAUAUUUUAAAAGAAAAAGUGAAUUAUAUUGUGGGGGGUGCAAAUUUGUGAAGAAAAGAGUGACAACCACUUGCGGUUCUUGGACUUCUAUGAAUGGAAAACUCAAAAAAGACCGAUCGAGCACCGGACGGCUUCGUCCACUUUCAUAUCUCCCAUUCACAACUUUUACUUUCAUAAAAUACGUUUUUAUUUAUAUUAAUAAAAAAUUAAUGGAAGACAAGCAGUCCAAAUUUAUGAACAAAACUUUAGAACCGCUACAAACAGUAAAACUGCAUCAAUUACACAACAAUUCUAGGUUCAAAUAUGGUUCGUCUAUUUUAUUUAUUAUUAUUCUAAAAUCCAAUAUUAUUUGUAUAAAUAAUCCAAAUCCAAUCAAUUAACCAAAUAAUUUGUUUUACAUUUCCAUCUCAUAUUUAUUGCUAUAUUUCUACAGUAUUUUAAAU